CAUAGCGUCUCCACCCAUCUUACCAAUUUGUAGGAAGGGGGAGGAUGAUGGCCUCCCAUGUCACACCUGGCGUGGAUGGCCUAAAUAAGGAGCCAUGGGUUGCUAGACACCGCGGCAAUUGGUGGUAUACAAGGCUUUUGCCUAGGAAGCAUCUUGCUGUGGAACAAGUAGCCUAUUUGGACUCGUAGGACCCUUUACUCACCUUU
rnacentral:misc_RNA from 2 species